AAUAGAUACCCCGGUAGUCCACGCCGUAAACGAUGAGUGCUAAGUGUUAGGGGGUUUCCGCCCCUUAGUGCUGCAGCUAACGCAUUAAGCACUCCGCCUGGGGAGUACGGUCGCAAGACUGAAACUCAAAGGAAUUGACGGGGGCCCGCACAAGCGGUGGAGCAUGUGGUUUAAUUCGAAGCAACGCGAAGAACCUUACCAGGUCUUGACAUCCCGCUGACCGCUAUGGAGACAUAGCCUUCCCUUCGGGGACAGCGGUGACAGGUGGUGCAUGGUUGUCGUCAGCUCGUGUCGUGAGAUGUUGGGUUAAGUCCCGCAACGAGCGCAACCCUUGAGAUUAGUUGCCAUCAUUCAGUUGGGCACUCUAAUCUGACUGCCGGUGAUAAACCGGAGGAAGGUGGGGAUGACGUCAAAUCAUCAUGCCCCUUAUGACCUGGGCUACACACGUGCUACAAUGGACGGUACAAACGGUUGCCAACCCGNGACGGGGGAGCCGAAUCCGAUAAAACCGUUCUCAGUUCGGAUUGUAGG
rnacentral:rRNA from 1 species